rnacentral:tRNA from 1 species
GCCCUCAUAGUUUAUCGGAUAGAACGUGACCUUGCGGAGGUCAAGAGCGAGGUUCAAUUCCUCGUGGGGGCA